rnacentral:rRNA from 1 species
UACGUAGAGUGCAAGCGUUGUCCGGAAUUAUUGGGCGUAAAGAGCGUGUAGGCGGCCAAACAGGUCAGCUGUGAAAACUCGAGGCUCAACCUCGAGACGUCGGUUGAAACCGUAUGGCUAGAGUCCGGAAGAGGAGAGUGGAAUUCCCGGUGUAGCGGUGAAAUGCGCAGAUAUCGGGAAGAACACCCGUGGCGAAGGCGGCUCUCUGGGACGGUACUGACGCUGAGACGCGAAAGCGUGGGGAGCGAACAGG